rnacentral:lncRNA from 1 species
AAAACAAAAAGUCCAAUUAGCAAGUUCUGACCUGGAAUCAAAGCUGCUCUGCACAGCACCUGCCCCAGUCCCCAAAGCCAAACCCUGGGGUGAGACCAUCGAGCCAUGGCUAAAGGCAGCGGCUCUGGGUGCAUCUGGAGAACUCAGGGCAGCUCAAGAUGCAGUAACUAGAGUUGACAGUGAUUCUGAGCAUGCAGAAGGCAGACCAAGCGGCCUUCUCUAGACUCGGGCCCUGCACAUACAGACCAAGCCACCUUCUCCAGACUCAGGCCCUGCACAUACAGACCAAGCCACCUUCUCUAAACUCGGGCCCUGCACAUACGGACCAAGCCGCCUUCUCUAAACUCAGGCCCUGCACAUACAGACCAAGCGGCCUUCUCUAGACUCGGGACCUGCACAUAUGGACCAAGCCGCCUUCUCCAGACUCAGGCCCUGCACAUACAGACCAAGCCGCCUUCUCUAGACUCGGGCCCUGCACAUACAGACCAAGCCACCUUCUCUAGACAUGGGCCCUGCACAUACACACCAAGCGGCCUUCUCCAGACUCAGGCCCUGCACAUACAGACCCCGCCUUCUCUAAACUCGGGCCCUGCACAUACGGACCAAGCGGCCUUCUCUAGACUCGGGCCCUGCACAUACAGACCAAGCCACCUUCUCUAGACAUGGGCCCUGCACAUAAAGACCAAGCCGCCUUCUCUAGACUCGGGCCCUGCACAUACAGACCAAGCGGCCUUCUCUAGACUCGGGCCCUGCACAUAAAGACCAAGCCGCCUUCUCUAGACUCGGGACCUGCACAUAUGGACCAAGCCACCUUCUCUAGACAUGGGCCCUGCACAAAAAGACCAAGCCGAAGCUGCUCUGUUUAAGUUGACAAAGUCAUCGAGCCACACCGUCAUGUCCGCCCAUGUCCUGUACUGUGAGUGCUCCCCCGUUCACGGCACCCCACAGUGAAGGAUGCACCAAACCCCAGCAAACGCCUACGGACCCAACGGACCCACUCCACUACUCUCCACACGUGUAAAGGAAGCAUCCCACGGCAGCUCCAUGGGAUCUGAGCACAGAAGAUGGAGAUGAAGAGGAUGCCGGGUGGCCACCCAGACGCUGAUGCCAUCUGUGGGAACGAGGGACCCACCAGGCGUCACUUCAGGUCCCCUCUCACAGGGCGCAUCAGGAGAUGACAGUGCCCCAACCACAGAUACCAGGGCACACUCAGCAAAGCCUGUGGUCACGUGGUGUCAACAGCAGCCGCCUAGAGCGAUGUCACUCUGUGGUAGGAGACGCCGUGCCGGGCACCAGGGCUUUUCCCAGCACUCCCCUGCUCAGUGGCCCCGUGGUCUGGCCACAGCCUGGCAGGCAAACACCGCUGCUGGCCAUUGUGUGGGCACAGGAAAUGAGGCUCAGAGCCAUCAAGGUCGCUGCUGGGACAGCAGAGCUGUGUCUCCACCCUGCACUGCGUUCCCAACAGGGCAGUGGCCUGGACACCCCUUGGCAGCCAUGUCCACUGCACGGUGUUCCCUCUCCCUGCACACAGCCAUGUCCCCCUGCGUCCUCCACCAGGGCCAGCCCAGGCGUGCUGACGAGCUGCACCUUCACGUGGAUGCUGGGGGAGAGGCCAUCCCAAGGAGGCAUCCAGUGUGCAGACACAGCCACGGUGCAGAAAACAAGCUCACUGCAAUGGGCCCGGCAGUCACGUGGUCCUUGCAGUUCACAGGGAGACUGGCCUUGGGCUCAGGGGCAGGAGAUUGAACUUAGAGGCGGACUAGAGGAGUUUUUUUGCAGAAUCACCAGCAAGGCAGCAGCAAUUUCAGCUGUGGGAAAAAAUUCAAAAGCCCAGCUCUUAUGGAAAUUGGAUAAAACUGUGCAGCCUCAGGGCCUGCGCAGACGUGAAUUCUAAUGACUUGUCAGGGACUAGUGUGGGCGAGCGGGGUGGUUCGUGGCUUCCACUGCCUGCUGCUCUGCACAGCCCCUAGGCCUCCCAGCCGACCAGGCAGACUCCGCCCCUAGGCCUCCCGCCCGACCAGGCAGAUUCGGCCCCUAGGCCUCCCGCCCCACCAGGCAGAUUCGGCCCCUAGGCCUCCCGCCCCACCAGGCAGAUUCGGCCCCUAGGCCUCCCAGCAGACCAGGCAGAUUCGGCCCCUAGGCCUCCCACCCGACCAGGCAGACUCGGCCCCUAGGCCUCCCACCCGACCAGGGAGACUCGGCCCCUAGGCCUCCCACCCGACCAGGCAGACUCGGCCCCUAGGCCUCCCGCCCGACCAGGCAGAUUCGGCCCCUAGGCCUCCCACCCGACCAGGCAGACUCGGCCCCUAGGCCUCCCACCCGACCAGGGAGACUCGGCCCCUAGGCCUCCCGCCCCACCAGGCAGAUUCGGCCCCUAGGCCUCCCACCCGACCAGGCAGAUUUUUGCUUUAAUCACCGUGUGCUGCCUCUGGCUCAGCGUGAAUGCUGGCUCUGGGACCCUUUCCUCGUAGGCAGAGGUGCUGGGUAGUGCAGGGGUAGGGCUUCCCCUGGGGCCGGUGUGCACCCCGCAGUGUCACAGCUUCCCCCAGCGCCUAGCGGCCUCCAGGUGCGCAUCUCACCUGGGUCCCAAAGGGAGGUUUCCUACCAGCCCUGGCCUGAACGUCUUGGGAACUUCUCCACUGCCCCGGCCAUGGCCCCACCCCGUGCCACUGAGGGUCUGGCUCUCAGCCUCAGUGGGGCUGGGGUUUCCAACGGCCCCCGCCUGGGCCCUGUGGGCACUGCUGCCCCUCUGUUGCUGUAUCUGUGUCCUCAGAGUCCCUUUAGUCCUUCGUUGCUGAGCCGGUGCUACUGGUUAACACUGCCUUACACUAAACCCGUCAUAAGUCUUUCUAUAAAACUGUUCAAAUUUC